rnacentral:rRNA from 1 species
AUUGAACGCUGGCGGCAUGCCUUACACAUGCAAGUCGAACGUGAAAGCGGGGCAACCCGCAAGUAGAGUGGCGGACGGGUGAGUAAUACAUCGGAACGUGUCCAGUAAUGGGGGAUAGCCUAGCGAAAGUUAGGCUAAUACCGCAUACGAUCUGCGGAUGAAAGCGGGGGAUGCGGCACUAAAGGCUUUUGGCGAAGGUGGCCAAAGGUGAGUCAAGAGCUUUUAGUGCNGCACCUCGUGUUAUUGGAGCGGCUGAUGUCUGAUUAGCUAGUUGGUGAGGUAAAGGCUUACCAAGGCGACGAUCAGUAGCUGGUCUGAGAGGACGGCCAGCCACACUGGGACUGAGACACGGCCCAGACUCC